UCAGACGAUGCGUCAUGCAUAUCAAUAAGCGGAGGAAAAGAAACUAACAAGGAUUCCCCUAGUAACGGCGAGUGAAGCGGGAAGAGCUCAAAUUUGAAAUCUUAAAGGGUUUCCCUUUACGAAUUGUAGUUUAAAGAAGUGUUUUCUGUUGAGGUUUUGGUAAAAGUUCUUUGGAAUAGGACAUCAUAGAGGGUGAGAAUCCCGUAUUUGACCUUUACUUUCAACUUUGUGAUACACUUUCAAAGAGUCGGAUUGUUUGGGAAUGCAGUCCAAAAUGGGUGGUAAAUUUCAUCUAAAGCUAAAUAUUGGCGAGAGACCGAUAGCGAACAAGUACCGUGAGGGAAAGAUGAAAAGAACUUUGAAAAGAGAGUUAAACAGUACGUGAAAUUGUCAAAAGGGAAGCGUUUGACACCAGUGUUGUUUUUCUGAAAAUCAAUUAAAGAACUGUUUAUGCUAAGCUGUUUAGACUUUAUCAGCUAUACUGUUUAGUUUUGAGCUUUUCUUUAAUGCACUUUUCAGUUAACAAGUCAACAUCAAUUUCUUUUGCUGUAAAAAAGCUUGAGGAAGGUGGCCUGAGAUUCGUCUUAAGUGUUUAUAGCCUCUUGCCUAUGCAGUCGGAGAGAUUGAGGUCUGCAGCGUAGAUCCUUCGGGGCUAAAUGCAUUUGUGCUAAGCUAUAGCAUUUUAUAGACAACUUGUUGACUAUGAUUUGUCUUGUAGCUUACUCGCUUAUGUUAUUUUACCUACGCUUAGGAUGUUGACACACGCGCGUGCUCG
rnacentral:rRNA from 1 species